AACGAACGCUGGCGGCAUGCCUAACACAUGCAAGUCGAACGAGACCUUCGGGUCUAGUGGCGCACGGGUGCGUAACGCGUGGGAAUCUGCCCUUGGGUCCGGAAUAACUCAGAGAAAUUUGAGCUAAUACCGGAUGAUGACGUAAGUCCAAAGAUUUAUCGCCCAGGGAUGAGCCCGCGUAGGAUUAGCUAGUUGGUGAGGUAAAGGCUCACCAAGGCGACGAUCCUUAGCNGGUCUGAGAGGAUGAUCAGCCACACUGGGACUGAGACACGGCCCAGACUCCUACGGGAGGCAGCAGUGGGAAUAUUGGACAAUGGGCGAAAGCCUGAUCCAGCAAUGCCGCGUGAGUGAUGAAGG
rnacentral:rRNA from 1 species